UGACAAAAGUUGUUGCUCCCACAAGGAGUUUAAUUCUGUUCCAGGACCAGAAACGCGUGAACAAGAACUUCCCUCCCGGAAACAAAGCUUAGAAAGUGAAGGUGGCAUAGUGAACAACUCUUUUUGACCCGUUGGUCAUUUGUUGCCAGUUUGGCGUUGCAACUUGAUUGACCGUUGCAUGACUUUGUUUGCAUUUUGCAGUCUUCAACUCAUAUUGGAUGUAAAGAAACAUGCAACGUGCACUGAGCUUGUGGAAGUCUGGAAAUGGAUCUGCCUUAAAGAGGCUAUGGGCUGCAAAGGAUACUGGGCACUUGGAGUCAGUUGUUGGACCAUACAAGUUAUUUGAUUCCUCUUUUCGAACACUGCAGGGGUCACGGUGGCUUUCUGAUGAGGUCAUUGAUGCAUACCUGCACCGUGUCAUUGAGAGACGAAAGGUAAUGAAGUGAGAUCGAUCAAUAAACGACGGAGGCUCCAGAAAAGUGCAAUCAAACGAUGAGUUUAUUAACACAGGAGAACAACCAUCAGCAUAUGGCCUGUUUUGCUCUGACAGUAAUACACUGGGUUCUGGUUUUAUAGCAUAGAGGAUCACGCCCCCACGUACAUGUCAAAUACAGGUCAAAAAUACAUU